UGUUUUGCUAUGAACUGAUUUGUAAGAUUCAUUGACCUGAAGACUAAGGGCCCUCAUUGUUGGAAGUAUUGGAGAGUUUUUAUCAGCUGCUUUGCUGCCUCCAGAGCCAUUAGCUGUCCAAAAUGUUGUGGAUUUUUCAAAGAUGAUUGGAGCAUUAGAUGUAAAUGAAAAUCUUACACAUCUUGGUUAGUUUAUAUUAAUAUAUUUAUAAAAGUUUAUUUCCUAAGAUUAUCUUUUCUCAUUUUUUCAAAAUAUACGUAAAUAUCUGGUAAUGCUUCCAUUGGAUCCGAAAUUAGGGAAAAUGCUAAUAAUGGGUGCUUUUUUUCGUUGCUUUGAUCAUAUUCUUACAAUUGUUGCUGGACUUAGUGUCAGGGAUCAUUUUCUUUUGCCUCAAGAGAACAAAGACCAAGCUAGUACAACAAAAUCAAUAUUUUCUGCAAAGGAUUACAAUGAUCAUAUGGCACUUGUGUGUGAAUAUGAAGGAUGGAAAGAAGCUGAAAGAGAAGGAUAUGCUUAUAAAUAUUGCUGGAGGAAUUUCCUUUAUGCUCAAACACUUCAAGCUAUA